rnacentral:rRNA from 1 species
AAGUCGUAACAAGGUUUCCGUAGGUGAACCUGCGGAAGGAUCAUUACAGAGAAAUUGCCCUUUAGGGUAUAUCUCCCACCCUCUGUUUACAAUAUCCUAUGUUGCUUUGGCAGGCCUGUUAUGAAACUACUGGCUAUUGCUAGUUCGAGCCUGCCAGAGAACCCUUAAUUUUUGUAAUUUUUGUCAGAGUAUUAUAUAAUAAUUAAAACUUUCAACAACGGAUCUCUUGGUUCUGGCAUCGAUGAAGAACGCAGCGAAAUGCGAUAAGUAAUGUGAAUUGCAGAAUUCAGUGAAUCAUCGAAUCUUUGAACGCACAUUGCACCUCUUGGUAUUCCAGGGGGUAUGCCUGUUCGAGCGUCAUUACAACUAACAAGCUUAUGCUUGGUAUUGGAUUGCACUAGCUUAAGUGCAUCUCAAAAUCAAUAGCAGUGCUCCUAGCUUCAAGCGUAGUAAAUUAUCGCUUCUGGAGUCUAGAUAUGUCAUUGUGUAAACCCCUAAUAUUUAUGGUUUGACCUCGGAUCAGGUAGGGAUACCCGCUGAACUUAAGCAUAUCAAUAAGCGGAGGAAAAGAAACCAACAGGGAUUGCCUUAGUAACGGCGAGUGAAGCGGCAACAGCUCAAAUUUGAAAUCUGGCCUUUGGUCUGAAUUGUAAUUUGUAGAGGAUGCUUUGAGUAUGGUCUAGUCUAAGUUCCUUGGAACAGGACGUCAUAGAGGGUGAGAAUCCCGUAUGUGAUUAGGUGCCUAAACUCAUGUAAAGCUCCUUCGACGAGUCGAGUUGUUUGGGAAUGCAGCUCAAAAUGGGUGGUAAAUUUCAUCUAAAGCUAAAUAUUGGCCAGAGACCGAUAGCGCACAAGUAGAGUGAUCGAAAGAUGAAAAGCACUUUGGAAAGAGAGUUAAACAGUACGUGAAAUUGUUGAAAGGGAAGCGCUUGCAACUAGACUUGUAUGCAAUUGAUCAUCUGAUGUUCUCACCGGUGCACUCAAUUGGAUUCAGGCCAGCAUUGGUUCUGGUGGUUGGAUAAAGGCCUUAGGAAUGUAGCUUCUUUCAGGAGUGUUAUAGCCUUUGGUGCAAUGCAGCCCACCAGGACCAAGGACCGCGCUUUGGCUAGGAUGCUGGCAUAAUGGUUGCAAGCGAC